AACGAACGCUGGCGGCAGGCUUAACACAUGCAAGUCGAGCGCACCGCCGGGGGAGCGGCAGACCGGUGAUUAGCGCGUGGGAACUGACCAUUUGGUUCAUAACCACUCCGGGAAACUGGGGCUAAUACGGGAUAAGGCCGCACGGAGCAAGUUUUAUCUCGGAAGGAUCGGCCCGAAUCUGAUUAGCUAGCUGGCUAGGUAACGGCGCCCCAAGGCGACGACCUGUAGCUGUUCUGAGAGGAAGAGCAGCCACACUGGAAAUGAGAAACGGGCCAGACUCUUACGGGAGGCAGCAGUGGGGAAUAGUGGACAAUGGGCGCAAGGCUGAGCCAGCCAGGACGCGUGAGUGAUGAAGGCAGUAGAGUUGAAAAGCGUUUUUGUCUGGGAAGAUAAUGACGGUACCGGAAGAAUAAGCCCCGGCUAACUUCGUG
rnacentral:rRNA from 1 species